CACGUAGGGGGCGAGCGUUGUCCGGAUUUAUUGGGCGUAAAGAGCUCGUAGGCGGCUCGGUAAGUCAGGUGUGAAAACUCUAGGCUCAACCUAGAGACGCCACCUGAUACUGCUGUGGCUAGAGUCCGGUAGGGGAGCAUGGAAUUCCUGGUGUAGCGGUGAAAGUGCGCAGAUAUCAGGAGGAACACCGGUGGCGAAGGCGGGU
rnacentral:rRNA from 1 species